rnacentral:rRNA from 1 species
AGCGAACGCUGGCGGCAGGCCUAACACAUGCAAGUCGAGCGGACCCUUCGGGGUUAGUGGCGGACGGGUGAGUAACACGUGGGAACGUGCCUUUAGGUUCGGAAUAGCUCCUGGAAACGGGUGGUAAUGCCGAAUGUGCCCUUCGGGGGAAAGAUUUAUCGCCUUUAGAGCGGCCCGCGUCUGAUUAGCUAGUUGGUGAGGUAACGGCUCACCAAGGCGACGAUCAGUAGCUGGUCUGAGAGGAUGACCAGCCACACUGGGACUGAGACACGGCCCAGACUCCUACGGGAGGCAGCAGUGGGGAAUCUUGCGCAAUGGGCGAAAGCCUGACGCAGCCAUGCCGCGUGAAUGAUGAAGGUCUUAGGAUUGUAAAAUUCUUUCACCGGAGACGAUAAUGACGGUACCCGGAGAAGAAGCCCCGGCUAACUUCGUG